GUAGCUCAGUGGUAGAGUACCUGCCUGGCAUGCAGAAGGUCUUGGGUUUAAUGCCUAGC
rnacentral:tRNA from 1 species